rnacentral:rRNA from 1 species
UACGGGGGGGGGCAAGCGUUGUUCGGAAUUACUGGGCGUAACGGGCGCGUAGGCGGCCAUCUAAGUCAGACGUGAAAUCCCCCGGCUUAACCUGGGAACUGCGUCUGAUACUGGACGGCUCGAGUAUGGGAGAGGGAUGUAGAAUUCCAGGUGUAGCGGUGAAAUGCGUAGAUAUCUGGAGGAAUACCGGUGGCGAAGGCGGCAUCCUGGACCAUUUACUGACGCUGAGGCGCGAAAGCUAGGGGAGCAAACGGG